AGGGUCCUCCUGGGAUGAAGGUAAAAUAUAGUUUGCCAAGAAACUUUGAAGAAAUGAAAAGUUUCUCAGGCGAUAUGUAAUUUUUCUCCUUUGGUUGGCAGGGAGAGAAAGUAGACAUGGGUUUGAAAGGAGAAAAGGGUGAUGCUGGUCCACAGGGGAGAGCUGUUGAAAUGAAGGACAUUGAAGGCUUGUUUGAUUCAUAUGGUGUUAAAGCUGCUUCAGGAUGGAAUGCAGGAGCUUC